UCAAGAUAGGUUCAAUAUGACCCGACCCGACCCGAACUCGCUGCACCAACGGGUCGGAGUCGCUUAUGCUUUCUCGCACCUACUGAUCUAUCGGGUCGACCCGAACUCGCUGCACCCUCGGGUCAAACUGAACCUACCGUGACCCGACCCGACCCGAAUUCGCUGCACCAACGGGUCGGAGUCGCUUAUGUUUUCUCGCACCUACUGAUCUAUCGGGUCGACCCGAACUCAUUGCCCCCGCGGGUCGGAUUUGAUUCCGACUCCGACCUAGCGCACCCGCUGCACCCACGGGUCGGAAUCAAUUCCGACUGGCUUGCACCUGACUCCGGGUCGGGUCAUGAAAUGAAUCGUAUGACCCAACACUAGUUCUCGCCUCGAUACCCCGCCUCGUUCUGCAUUAUUCCUCCACACCCAAGUAGCAACCGAAGCUUUUUUCUCCCAGUUUCAACCCCCUCAUGUCCACAAACUGCCUUCGCUUACUAUUCCUAUCCCGUUUCUACAUUCCACAACGUUUGUUGCGUUCUCGCUCAUCAGGGUGUUAGUCAAUUCUCUCUUGCCACACGAAGAGAAUUCUCCUGCACACUUCGUGUGUUGGAUUCUACCCAUCCCUGUUGAACACACGUCAUUUUCUUCCAUCGCACUCAUCAGGGUGUUUGCUCUUUUCCAUCCAAGCCAAAGAGCGACUUCAGUGUGCUCUGAACCGUGGAUGUGAGAGUGUGUGUUUGUGUGCUGCGUGAACUAUUUUUCCUGCGUGAAACACUUUACAUACUGCGCCAUCCGCGGAGUUCUUUCUGCUUCAUCGGAGGACGAACUUUUAUCAUCUAAUUGUUUGGUUUCAGAUGUGUGCUGCUACCGCUAGCUGUUCCUCAAACUACUUAAAAAGUGUGACACUGUGUGCACAGGCGUUCAAGUUUCAAUUGAUCCUCAAGCACAAAGCCUUCAUACAACACCGCGGUUGAGGCGCGCCAAAUCUGAUGACAUCUUUCCUGAACCAAGCAGGCUGAACACGCGCACCACCACGGGCUCCAGCGCGGUGUGAAGAGGGAAGAAGAAAAGGCAGAAUUGGAAACAGCCGCACCAGGCUUCCAACCACCGUGUGUGUGUAUGUAAGUAUGUGAGAACACAUGUGUGAAUCCUCUUGUGGGAACUGCAAAAAGAAGAGAAUAAAGAGUGUGAAGCAGCUAGACUGCCGCAACCAAA